rfam:Xiphophorus maculatus strain JP 163 A Contig936.1, whole genome shotgun sequence.
GCAUUAUCGGGAGCAGUGUUUUCCAUAAUGU